rnacentral:tRNA from 1 species
CUCCUCAUAGUUCAAUGGAUAGAACAAGACACUCCUAACGUCUAAAUCCAGGUUCGACUCCUGGUGAGGAGACCA